rnacentral:rRNA from 1 species
AAUAGGCUAAUUAAGAGCGUAAGGGGAAUGCCUUGGCUCUCAGAGGCGAUGAAGGACGUGAUAAGCUGCGAUAAGCUGUGGGGAGUGGCACAAACACUUUGAUCCGCAGAUUUCCGAAUGGGGCAACCCGGCAUAUUGAAGAUAUGUCACACUGUAAAGUGAGCAAACCUGGUGAACUGAAACAUCUAAGUAACCGGAGGAAUAGAAAACAAAAGUGAUUCCGCUAGUAGUGGCGAGCGAACGUGGAACAGCCCAAACCUAUGUUGUUACGGCAAUAUAGGGGUUGUAGGACCUCAACAUUUAAUGCUAAUAGAACUAGAAUUUACUG